ACCUCACUGACCUAAAAGCCUGAAGGUGUGAGAGUGAGCCAGGUGGAAGAAUGUUCCAGGAAAAGGGAACAGCAUGGGCAAAGCCCUGGGGUAGGAAGAUGCCUAGUGUGUUGACUCACGGCUAGGAAACCAACACAGCUGGAGAAAAUAAGAGAGGAUGAAGAGCAGAAAAGGGUCAGAAAGAUGAUAGGGGCCAGAGUAUCAGACCCUAAGUGGGAUGGGAAGCCUUUUGAGCAGAGAACAUGACAAAAUAUGACUUGUCUUUCAAAAUAACAUAAUGCGUUUUUCAUCCAGCAUAUGCAGAGUCCCUGAGGAGAGUCAAAGAACAUAUCAGUUCAUGAAGCUACAAGUUUCCUGGUGAGGGUCACAUGGUCCUUCUGCUGAUGGCCACACAUGUCCUGAUUCUCUUCUGGCCCGCUGCCCAACAGAAGUGGGAUGGCCAUUCAUUUGGGUCUCACUCCUGAAUAAAGCCAUCCAUUGGUGAACUGCAUAUUUAAUCCCCACCUCCUGAAUCUCCCAGAGAGGAGACUUCACCAGCUCAUGGUCCCGAUCUCCAAGGUAGGGGUCUUCACAAGCCUUGCCCCUGCCUUAGUCGUGAGGAUGCCGUGGAGGAUGUUGACCACUGUAUGACCCACAGGAAGUCCAUGCAAAAAAUGUCUUGUUUCUUCUAAGGAGCUGGUCUUUUUCUUUCAGGACCACAUGACAUUUGUAAUUAAUCAUGUUUCUUAUUUUCCUCUUUGCAAUGGUCUCCAGGAAGCCCAGAGCCCAAUUUUAAUAAUUACGUAAAACUUUGUAUGCCUGCCUGCUUGCCAUUCUUCUCCCUCUCAUCUCA